UACGAACUGUGCAAACGUUAUUCGGAUUCACUGGGCUUAAAGGGUGCGUAGGCGGCCAUGUAAGUAGGGUGUGAAAUCCCCCGGCUUAACCGGGGAACUGCGCCCUAAACUGUGUGGCUUGAGUGAGAUAGGGGUGUGUGGAACUUCCGGUGGAGGUGAAAUGUGUUGAUAUCGGAAGGAACGCCGGUGGCGAAAGCGACACACUGGGUCUCAACUGACGCUGAGGCACGAAAGCCAGGGGAGCGAACGGG
rnacentral:rRNA from 1 species